AGCUUUGCGCAGUGGCAGUAUCGUAGCCAAUGAGGUUUAUCCGAGGCGCGAUUAUUGCUAAUUGAAAACCAGACCUAAAUAUUCAGAUUAAAAAACAAAAACAAAAACAAAAAAACCCUUAAAUUACAGAACCAUUUCU